UACGUAGGGCGCGAGCGUUGUCCGGAAUCAUUGGGCGUAAAGAGCUCGUAGGCGGCCUGUCGCGUCUGCUGUGAAAUCCCGGGGCUUAACCCCGGGCGUGCAGUGGAUACGGGCUGGCUGGAGGCAGGCAGGGGAGAACGGAAUUCCCGGUGUAGCGGUGAAAUGCGCAGAUAUCAGGAGGAACACCGGUGGCGAAGGCGGACUCUGGCG
rnacentral:rRNA from 1 species